rnacentral:pre_miRNA from 1 species
AGGAGGAACAGCCCCAGUGGCGGGGCAGCUCUGGAAACCUGGGUUCAGCCCCUGCAGGAACUCCGGAGCUCUCCGUCUGCAGGGCCUGGAGGCUCCGGGGCGGG